rnacentral:lncRNA from 1 species
CGCCGAUUCAGAGAGAGGGAAGGGGAAACAGAAAGCGAAGAGGGCGGCGGCAGGGCUGCGCCGCCAAGGUCUAGCGGCUCCCACCCCUUCCACUUCCACCGAUCCAACGCCUUCGUCUACAUCCAGGCGCUCAUCGGUUCCCCUUCUGCUCCGUCCUCCACUCCACCUUCCUGUCCGCCCGGUCUGCUCGCAUGUACCUCUUCCUGUCUCCUCCACUCUGCUCUUUUGCUUAUGCUUGGAUAUACUCUGCUCUGCUGCCUGCGGUAGGAUGCUCUGCUCCGUGUGAAUGUGUGCCUGAUGGCCGAUUCAUGUGCUUGUGCUUUACUGCAUUUUGCUUAGUUUAUCUAAUUGGUACUCUCGGCUUCCGAACUGGCAGCAACAACGUAUGUUUAUGCUGCUCCAUCCUAGGUUAGGAUAUGAGUAUGGCGUCGUGAGUAUUCUGUGAGGUCCUGUAUCUUAGCAUUUUGUGCUGCUGCUCACAGCAUUCUUGCCUAUUGUAGAGCUUAUCAUAAGCUUUUAAUGGAAUCUAAGGUCAACGAAAUGAGUAUCGGGAGUGAAAAGUUAUGCAAAAAAAUAUGAAGUGGUGCAAAAUGCAUGAAGAGGAUAAAACACCAGAUCAUCCUAUUAGUGAAAAUUCACUCACAGGAUAAAACACCAGAUUAUCCUAUUAGUAAAAAUUCACUCACAGGCAAAGUGCAGCAGUAUGUUAUAUUUUGUUCUGUGUGGAAUCGAUUCUAAUGUGGUCUUAAGCCCACUAGCUGCAGCCUGCAGCUCACAGCAUUCUUGCCUGUUAGUCGGCGGCUUCAAUUUUCUAAAGCGGCGGCAGCAGAUGAUAAUGUAACCUCAUUUGCAUGGGCUUCUUGACCCGUGAGAGUUCACAGUAGCUCUGUUGUUUUCUUUUUACUAGAGUAGCUUUGUUGUAACUAGAGUAAAUUAAUUAAUCUUUUUACUAGAGUAGCUUUGUUGUAACUAGAGUAAAUUAAUUAAUCACAUGAUGCUCGUCUUAGUUCAGAACGUAGCUCUUUUGUUUUCGUUCAACCUGUGGUGCAGCAGCAGCUCAGUAGUUUCAGUUCUCUGCCGGUCCCGAUUUUUAUGACUAAGCGAAACUUUCGAUGCUCUUUACGUGUCUGUUUGGUCGUGCUGUAGCCGGCUUGCCGCUCUCCUCCAGACCAUCAACACAGCAGGCAGCGCCAACAGCAGCUGCACGAUUUCUUUUGUUUUGAUUUUUGAUCUCCCCUCUUUCCUUCCUUUUUUUUUGACCCUUGUAAUUUUUGGUCUUGGCAUCUUGAGGAGGGGCCUGUGAUCGACCCCUUCUGCCGAGUAGUCGUAUGUAGCAGCAGUUUCAGUUGCAAGGAAAGUGGUUACUGGUCAGAUGAGGUUGCUUGCUUGUGGCACAUGCCUCAUGAUCAUCAGCUUGCCUACUUGUAGGGGCAAUCACGCCUCUCCUAUUACUAGUGCUACCUGUUAUUGGUAUGGAGGAGAUGAACAAUGAGUACCUCCUGUUAUUGCCAAUUUUCCAUGGACUGGAAGAUAAUCAGAUAUGCACAAUUGAGUAUUGCCAGUACUGUCAUUUUCCUGAAUGUUUAAUCUCUUGGGAUCUCAUUUACCAGCAGCAGCACAUCAUGAACGAACACCUGAGCAUACUUGCGACUGUGAUCUACCAUGGAUCUCACUCAAUUCAGUUCAGGUUACCAGAUUCCGAUGAAUACCUGAUCAAGCAAAGAGGCAAGGUAGAAGAUGCUCCGUCGUCGUCCAGUUGCGCCAGAACAGAGGAAAGUAAAAUAAGGUUAAAAUAAUGGGGGCGGAAUGCGGAGGACUGCACUCCGACUGCCCACUGGGCCCCCAGCACCUGCUACCCCGCGUAUGGGAGACUACACAUGCUGCAGCACGGGCUCGCCUGUUAGUUCGUUGCUGCAGCUGGGCCCGUCCGCUUGGGCCCAUAAGCAUUUGCAGGCCAGCAGUAUAACCCAACAACAGCCUGCUGGGCCUAGAGAGACUAGCGUGCCGAAUCGGCCUGCAAGGCCAGCUUGCAGGCCCUACAUGCAAGGUAGUGGACCGUCUGAUACUCCAAUAAGUAUUCAAGUAGCUCGUUUAUCUUUUUCUUUUUAAACACAGCAGACGCAGAGCUUCAAAUAAGAUUGGUGGCAUCCAUAUAUUCACCACAACAUCAUACUUCCUAGCACCCUGUGUGAAUGACUACACAAAUUCAUGAGAUUCGUUUUUUGUCAAAAAAAAGCAUGAAUUUAAAAUUUUUAAAAUAUCUAUAAUCAUUAUAAGAGGAAGAACUUAUGUAAAAAACGAUAUGUGAUCAUUGGUCACAAAAUGUGAGCAACCUACCUCUAGUCGACUAGUCCC